UUAAACACACCUCCAACAUCCAAUGAAUACAGAAUCAUCAGAGCUACUGAGUCUGACAGUGGAGGAUACAGCUGCCGGGGCAGAAGGGACUAUUUCUUCUCAGAGUGGAGUGAUAUCAUCACACUGACUGUAUCAUAUAAACCAAAGGCCAAACUGAGAGCUGAUAACACAGCUGUUCCA